GUGGGUUGGCAUUGUCACCCCUCUCCAAUUUUUCCCUUCUCUAUUUUAUUUUAUUCUCUUCUCUUCUCUUCUAUUUCAUUCAUUCUUUCAUAGUAAUCUUUUAUUUCAUUUCAUCUUCUUAUUAGAAAACACAACGCACACACACUCACUCUUUAUUCUCUAUCUAGUUUCUUGGAAACACACUCUCACAAUCUCUGUACACAAACUUCUCUGUUUCUUUUCUUUGAUUCUGACGAACCCACAAGAACAGGAUUGACAUAGUUGCUGGAGCUGAAGUUUGAAGACGAUGGUGACGGUGAUGGUGAUGAUGAUGAUGAUGAUGAUGAUGAGUAGUCUUUUUUGAGAGAUGUUCUCAAAGAGUUCACUGAACUUUUGAUCUCCUCAUUUUAGGUAGUCGGAUUUUCCUACUUACACUGACCUUUCUGGUUCUCAAAAGGUAAGCAAUUUUUUCUUUUUUAAGAUCUCCCAAUUUUCCUCUGUUUUUAGUUUUCUUUUUUGUUUUUUUAUUUUUGUGGAUGUUGAUUGGUUUUCUUAGUUCCUUCUUAGUGGGAAAUUCUUUAGCUAUUAAUGGUAAUCAGUGAGUAUGUGCUCUUAGUGUCAUUGAAUUCCCAUUUUAGUUGUUUCUGUACUAUGAUCAAAGUUUAAUCAUUUUACACACUAGACUUGAUGAUGCAAACUCAUGAACUUUAAUCUCUGCAGGUACUUGUCAUUUUAAUAAUCUAAUUCUUCAUUUUUGAAUUCACUCAUGGAAAUGAUGUAGAUUUGGUAUUUGCCUGAGUUGAUUGAUAUCCUUGUUCCCGAAUUCCCUGUAUAAAUUGGAUACUUUAAACGAAAACAUGCUUUCAUUUGCAUUUGCAACCUUUAGGCUUUGUUCCACCAACUGUGGGAUUCUGUUGGUUUAUUGCAAUGACUCAUGGUCACUUUUUAAUAUCUUCAUUUGAUUUUUUGAAAUGCAGAUUGAGAAACUGAUAAAGGAGCUGCCUAGUAUGCUCGCUGAUUUGUCCAAUGGAGAUCUAAAUUCUGCAGAAAAGGAUCAUUUAAGCAAUGGAAUCUCUUUUCAACACACUGAAAAUGGAACAAAUCCCAGGGAGGCCCAAAGCAUGCUUUUGGAGAGAAUCGCCAGUGAAAUGAAUCGGCUAAAGUUCUACAUCACUCAUGCACAGUUGUUGAACAAGUCAGUGGAAAAGACCACAUGCUCAACCAUUUGAGCAUUCCAGCAGCUUGUUUCACUCACCCAGAAAUUAAGUAUGGUUGGACUCACAGAGGUGAAUAUCAAAUUUUCCAAUUCCCAUACCAAACCCACAAAUUUUCCAAUUAGUGUUAGCAUCACUUUUCUUAAUUUUUAACGGUGUUUUUAUAACCGCCGCAUAUUAUUUAACCAAAACGGCACCGUUUUAUAAUUGAAGAACCAGUACACUUUUUGGGCUUUUAUGAAUAAUUACAAAAAGCUUUAUUGAAACACCAAAAACCAUUUUAU